GAUGAACGCUGGCGGCGUGCCUAAUACAUGCAAGUCGAGCGAAGCGGGGACGGGUGAGUAACACGUGGAUAACCUCCUAUCAGACUGGGAUAACUUAGGGAAACCGGAGCUAAACCGGAUACUUAUAGAUGGACCCGCGCUGCAUUAGCUAGUUGGUAAGGUAACGGCUGACAAAGGCAACGAUGCAUAGCCGACCUGAGAGGAUGAUCAGUCACACGGGAACUGAUACACGGUCCAGACUCCUACGGGAGGCAGCAGUGGGUAAUAUUGGACAAUGGGCGAAAUGCUGAUACAGCCAUGCCGCGUGGGUGAAGAAGGUCGUCGGAUUUUAAAGCUCUUUAAGUUGGGAGGCGUUACCAACAGAAUAAGCACCGGCUAACUUCGUGCCAGCAGCCGCGGUAAUAC
rnacentral:rRNA from 1 species